rnacentral:hammerhead_ribozyme from 1 species
AUCCAACUGACGAGUCCCAAAUAGGACGAAGCGGCACGCGUCAAACUAGAU